rnacentral:rRNA from 1 species
ACAAUGAAGAGUUUGAUCCUGGCUCAGGAUGAACGCUAGCGGCAGGCCUAACACAUGCAAGUCGAGGGGCAUCACGGAAAAGCUUGCUUUUCUGGUGGCGACCGGCGCACGGGUGCGGAACGCGUAUGGAACCUGCCCCUGUCAGGGGAAUAGCCCAGGGAAACUUGGAUUAAUGCCCCAUGGUACCGUUAUAUCGCAUGAUAUUGCGGUUAAAGAUUUAUCGGACAGGGAUGGCCAUGCGUACCAUUAGUUAGUUGGUGAGGUAACGG